UUAACCUACGGGGGGCAGCAGUGAGGAAUAUUGGGCAAUGGAGGAAACUCUGACCCAGCCAUGCCGCGUGAGUGAAGAAGGUUUUCGAAUUGUAAAGCUCUUUCGGAUGUGAAGAUGAUGACGGUAACAUCUAAAGAAGCCCCGGCAAACUUCGUGCCAGCAGCCGCGGUAAUACGAAGGGGGCAAGCGUUGUUCGGAAUUACUGGGCGUAAAGGGUGUGUAGGCGGGAAAGUAAGAUAGUGGUGAAAUGCCUGAGCUCAACUUAGGAACUGCCGUUAUAACUAUUUUUCUAGAGUGACAGAGAG
rnacentral:rRNA from 1 species